rfam:Brassica napus, WGS project CCCW01000000 data, contig: 12770
GUCCCUUCGGGGACAUCCGAUAAAACUGGAACGAUAUUGAGAAGAUUAGCAUGGCCCCAGAAGAUGUUUGUACAGAGAAGGAUGUGCAAUUCAG